rnacentral:lncRNA from 1 species
UAUCUUGUUCGUCCUUAUUCUCAAUAUGAUCGUAUGUCUGUUUCAGGAAAAUGUCAAAACUUCCUGUUGGGUACAGAAAACUGCAGUCUACAAGUCGGGCUGUUUGUAGAAAAGAAGCACAUGGCUACAGCGAUCAAUGAAGAAAUGGCUUCAUCUAUGAUGGCUCGCCUUAGGACAUUGGAAUGGAGCUACACAAAGGCAUCACCAUCCUCGCCUGUUCCCUGGAACUUUGGUUUGAAUGAGACUGUUCUUCAAUGUAGAACGGCCACAAGACUUGUCACCACAUACAAGGCGUAGUGCAAGCUCUAAAUAUUGUACAGGAGGCUAGAAUAAAUGACUCUCCAUGCA